CCUACGGGAGGCAGCAGUGAGGGAUAUUGGUCAAUGGGCGGAAGCCUGAACCAGCCAAGUAGCGUGCGGGAUGAAGGCCCUACGGGUCGUAAACCGCUUUUGCACGGGGAUAACACCCUCCACUUGUGGAGGUCUGCAGGUACCGUGCGAAUAAGGGCCGGCUAAUUCCGUGCCAGCAGCCGCGGUAAUACGGAAGGCCCGAGCGUUAUCCGGAUUCAUUGGGCUUAAAGGGAGCGUAGGCGGGCGUUCAAGUCAGCUGUAAAAUCGCGCGGCUCAACCGCGCCCCGCAGUUGAAACUGGACGCAUUGAGUUCACAACAGGCAGGCGGAAUUCGUGGUGUAGCGGUGAAAUGCAUAGAUAUCACGAGGAACCCCGAUUGCGAAGGCAGCCUGCCGGGGUGCGACUGACGCUGAGGCUCGAAGGUGCGGGUAUCAAACAGGAUUAGAUACCCCAGUAGUC
rnacentral:rRNA from 1 species